rnacentral:misc_RNA from 1 species
GUAUCUUUUCACCAGUAUAUGCUGUUGAAGAUUUGGGGCUUCUCGCUUGAGUGCCCUUAAAGCUAUAGCUUGACACUGAUCGAGUGCUAGAGCGUUUGUAUUUGAAACUCUUCGAGUACCUGUACAGCGACCUACGCGCAAAGCUCGAGACUGGGCCAAGUCCACCACGGAGGUUUGAAAAAGAACCCGAA